CUACGUGCCAGCAGCCGCGGUAAUACGUAGGGUGCGAGCGUUAAUCGGAAUUACUGGGCGUAAAGCGAGCGCAGACGGUUACUUAAGCAGGAUGUGAAAUCCCCGGGCUCAACCUGGGAACUGCGUUCUGAACUGGGUGACUAGAGUGUGUCAGAGGGAGGUAGAAUUCCACGUGUAGCAGUGAAAUGCGUAGAGAUGUGGAGGAAUACCGAUGGCGAAGGCAGCCUCCUGGGAUAACACUGACGUUCAUGCUCGAAAGCGUGGGUAGCAAACAGGAUUAGAUACCCUGGUAGUCCACGCCCUAAACGAUGUCAAUUAGCUGUUGGGCAACUUGAUUGCUUAGUAGCGUAGCUAACGCGUGAAAUUGACCGCCUGGGGAGUACGGCCGCAAGGUUGAAACUCAAAGGAAUUGACGGGGGCCCGCACAAGCGGUGGAGUAUGUGGUUUAAUUCGACGCAACGCGAAGAACCUUACCAAGCCUUGACAU
rnacentral:rRNA from 1 species